rnacentral:lncRNA from 1 species
GCUAAUGAUAUCGAGACAUUCCGUGUAUUCCAGAUACGAGUCUCCAGAGUUGUUUGUAGGCAUAUAGACACAGAUAAUGCAUAGGUUAAACGGAGAUUUUAAUUCAACUGCUAUUAUCCUGUUGUUUCCAGAUACGAGUCUCCAGAGUUGUUUGUAGGCAUAUAGACACAGAUAAUGCAUAGGUUAAACGGAGAUUUUAAUUCAACUGCUAUUAUCCUGUUGUUUCCAGAUUGUAUUUCUUGGACAGAUGGCGUCAGAUGAUUUUUCCAAGCUAUUGCAACAC